GUAUCAGAGACGUUGCGGCAAGCACCUGCAAUAGAAUGAAACAUUCCCUGAUACGAAGCCUCAGAUGACAUCAUCUCAAUCUUAUCUGGUGUAACCAGAAUGUCGGAGCAAAAUCGUUCGAUGAAACGGCUGUGUACUACAAACGGUGAAGGGGAGAAUGUCAGCGCAAGAAAGGGAAAGCUAUAACCUAUUGCCCUGUGCGACGCUGGAUUCGGGAUCCUCAGAAGGUCGAGCAUCGUCACUCGGCAGGAUUCAAAAGGAUUGACCGUGGUGCACGCAAUCAACUACCACUUGUGCUGGCGAACAGAACACGUACGUCGUCUCGCACGUGAGCGAAGGGUAACAGACACGAAAUGCUGAAGGGAUGUACCAGGGAUAUAUCCCCGCCCCCCCUCCCCUCCAUCCCUGACGAGGAGUACUUCAUCGCUGGAAAAAGUGCGGAUUCUCGACGGAGAGCUGCGGUAAACCCGACCGAGAGUGAACGUAGUUAGGACACAUGGCACUUGCGCAAAAAAAAAAAAAAACUCCAAUCUCGCUUCAACCGGAUUUUGGAAACCGACGAGGUAACU